rnacentral:snoRNA from 1 species
CUGCCCUCCUGCAGCACCCAGCUCCUGUUCUAGGCUCUGGGUGCUGUGCAGCCUCCAGACAUCCUGCAGUGUCCAGUGUCCUACUGGGGGCUGCUGUGAUGUGUGCUGGCUGCCUGCAGAGGGGAACAG